rnacentral:rRNA from 1 species
AUUGAACGCUGGCGGCAUGCCUUACACAUGCAAGUCGAACGGUAACGCGGGGCAACCUGGCGACGAGUGGCGAACGGGUGAGUAAAGUAUCGGAACGUGCCCAAUAGUUGGGGAUAGCCCGGCGAAAGCCGGAUUAAUACCGCAUGAGACCUGAGGGUGAAAGCGGGGGACUCGCAAGAGCCUCGCGCUGUUGGAGCGGCCGAUAUCAGAUUAGGUAGUUGGUGGGGUAAAGGCCUACCAAGCCGACGAUCUGUAGCUGGUCUGAGAGGACGACCAGCCACACUGGGACUGAGACACGGCCCAGACUCCUACGGGAGGCAGCAGUGGGGAAUAUUGCACAAUGGGCGCAAGCCUGAUGCAGCAACGCCGCGUGAGGGAUGACGGCCUCGGUU